rnacentral:lncRNA from 1 species
UUGGACAAAUUCCCAAUAUUAUAUUAUAUUUAAUAAAAAGUUAAAUUAAAAAAAAUAAUUAUCAACAAGUUAUAAAAUAUUAACAUAACAUUUCAUUUGAAGUACUAAACUAUUAUAGUAAUGAUCACAUAUUCAAUCUGAAAAGAAGAGUUAAAUGAAAUAAAAAGAAUAUAUAAGAUAUUAUUUAAAUUAUCAAAACAUAACUAUAACAACAUUUGAAUAAUGUUGGUUAAUGUUUUUUUUUGUUGAAAAUAUAUGUAGUUUCGAUUGUGGGUAUGGUGUGACACCAAAGUCAUAGUGCAAAUUAAUACUAAGAGAAAUUGAUCGAAUACGUAUUGGCCAAAGUCCAUUGAAGUGGUGUGUUCAUAUGAACAAAUCGAUUGACUUAUGCAUUCCUUUGUUGAAGGAAAUGAUGACCUGGUGGGUUGACCGCAAUGAAUGCUUCAUUUUGAAGCAAAGGAUGGUACAUUUUACAGUUAUUGAUGUUUUCAUGGGUUUAAGCUUGGGUGUUGGGGGAUUAGAUGUAAACUUUGAUGAUAAUGUUGGUAGUGUCGUUUGUGAACAAUUUUCUUCAAAAUCAUUCAGUCCAAAAGAAGUGUAAAUAGAAUAAAAUUGUUAAUACAAAAUAAUGAGUCUGAUGUAGAUUGUGUAUAUAGUUUGUAUAUUUUACUUUGUUUUAUUGUUUUUUUACUUUCCUAGAAAAUCGAAGGUAGUUAAUAACAUGCAUUUUAGACUAUUAAAUAACAUUGAUAGUUUGUAUCCAUAUUAUUGAGCAAAAGUUGUGCACUCAUAUGUCAUUAAUAGUUUAACAAAGGGAUCAAUGAUGAUAAGAGAGUAUGACAUAAAGGACUCUAUAGGGAUUAAUGGCAAUGUUAUAACCAAUGAGUCAAAUCUUAGUUUUUGGGGAACAUUUAAUGGAUACGUAUCACGAACAAUAUUGGAACAAUCCAACAAACCUCUUAAUUAUAUAUAUAUAUAUAUAUAUAUAUAUAUAUAUAUAUAUAUAUAUAUAUAUAUAUAUAUAUAUAUAUAUAUAUAUAUAUAUAUAUAUAUUUGUCCCACAAGUAUCUCUUGAAUGACAAACAUAUCUGCAUAUAUAUUUUUUACGUUUUCAAAUCAUGGUUGCAUCAUCCAGCGCAGGACCGUAAAGAAUCUUGUGGGAGUUUGGGACCAUCCACCUAAUAGAUUUGGUAAGCAUGUUGUUGUCAUAUAAUUUUUUUUUCAUGUAUGUUAUUUUAAUUUUGUUGUGUACUUCUGCAAGAUUUUGAGUAUGUUGAUAGGCAUUUUACUGCUGUUUUUGAAAAUAAAUUAGGAUGUACGUGAUCGUUGGUGGAACAAUGGUCACACACAUGUAGUCACUUAUAACAUGAAUACUUUAAAUUCUAGAAUAACGAACGGAUGAUGUGCAAUGAAAAUCAUAUGCCCUAAAAGGCUUAAUGACGCCCAUAUAAUCUUCCAAUAUUUGGGUGACAAUUAUUUCGAAAUAAUAAUUUAUUUUGAUUCUUGCUCCCACGAGAGUAGGGAAUCAUUCAUUUAUCGUUCUAUUACAGAUCUUGAGACGUUAUUGUUUGCUGUCAAAUUGACUAAAUCACAAUGUCAAAGAAGUCAUUUGGUACGUCUACAAUAGUUUUAAUUUUGCUCAUUAAUUGUAAAAAAAAAAAAAUUAACAUCACAAUGUCAUUGACUUCAUAUUACUUAUUGCACAAAACUUGCAAAGUACAUUUGGGAAUUUAAUCAAGAACAAAGGGUUCACAGAGAUUAUGCUCCUUAGUUAUAAAGAUGACAUCAUAUGCAAAGUUUUAGUUUCAAAGACUAGAAAUUCAACAAAGUUUGGAAAAUGACGGAAGGAAUUUUGCACCCAAUUGACUUGAAGGAAGGAGAUGUUCUAGUCUUCGAGAUUGAGAAUCAUUGGAAUGAUAUUAUAGUUGAAGUUUACAUUAACUGAUAUCAUUGUAAUGUUAUAAACCCAAUAGACAUGAACAUAAAUUGAUGAUGUCCUUUGUGGUUCACACUGAUAUUGGAUGUAUAACAUUACAACGAUAUCUGUUAAUGUGAACUUCAACUAUAAUAUCAUUCCAAUAUUUCUCAACCUCGAAGACUAGAACAUCUCCUUCCUUCAAUCCAUAUUGGGUGCAAAAUUACUUCCAUCAUUUUCCAAACUUUGUUGAAUUCCUAGUCUCUGAAACUAAAACUUUGCACAUGAUGUCAUCCUUAUAACCAAGGAGCAUAACCUUUGUGAACAUUAUUUUCCUAAUUAAAUUCUCAAAUGUACUUUACAAGUCUUGUGCAAGAAUUAAUAUGAAGUCAAUGACAUUGUGAUAUUAAAUUUUUUUUGACAAUUAAUAAACAAAUUUAAAAUAUUGCAGACGUACUGAAUGACUUCCUUGACAUUAUGAUUUAGUCAAUUUAACAACAAUGAUGUCUCAAGAUCUAUAGUAGAACGAUAAAUGAAUGAUUUUGUGCUCUUGUGGAAGCCAGGACCAAAAUAAAUUAUUAUUUUGAGAUGUGGGAGCAAGGACCAAAAUAAAUUAUUAUUUCAAAAUGUUGUCACCCAAAUAUUAGAAAGUUAUGUGGACAUGAUUAAGCCUUUCAAGGUAUAUUUUUUUCAUUGCACACCAUUUAUUCGUUAUUCUAAGAUUUAAAAUAUUCAUGUUAUAAGUGACCACAUAUGUGUGACCAUUGGGCCCACCAACGAUCACAUACAUCCUAAUUUAUUUUCAAAAGCAGCAACGAAAUGUCUAUCAACAUACCUAAAAUCCUACAUAACUACGUAACAAUAUUAAAAUAACAUACAUGGAAAAAAAUUAUUGACAACAAUGCUUACCAAAUUUAUCAGGUGGAUGGUCCUAAACUUCUACAAAAUUCUUAACGGUCCUGCGUUGGAUGAUGUAGCCAUGAUUUGAAAAAGCAAAAAAAAUAUAUUUGUAGAUAUGUUUGGUUGAUAUGUUUGCCUUUUUCAUUCAAGAGAUACCUACAAGACAAAUAUAUACACAACUAAAAGAUUUGUUGAACAGUACCAACAUUGUUCGUGAAUCAUGUCCAUUAAAUGUUCUUCACAAACUAAGAUUUGACUCAUUGACUACAGUAUUGCCACUAAUCCCUAUAGAGUCUUUUAUGUCACGCUCCCUUAUUAUCAUUGACCUCUUUGUUAAACUAUUAAUGACAUAUGAAUGCACAACUUUUGCCCAAUCAUAUUGAUACAAACUAUCAAUGUUAUCUAAUACUCUAAAAGACAUGUUACUAACUACCAUCGAUUUCCUAGGAAAGUAAAAAAAAUAAACCAAAAUAAAAUAUACAAACGUGAUACACAAUCGAAAUUAGACUCAUUAUUUUGUAUUAACAAUUUUAUCUUAUUUACAACUUCUUUUGGACUGAAUGAUUUUGAAGAAAAUUGUUCAUAUACGACACUACCAACAUUAUCAUCAAAAUUCACAUCUAAUUCCCCAACACCCAGGCCUAGACCCAUGCAAACACCACUAAUUAUAAAAGGUACCAUUUUUUGCUUCAAAAUGAAGCAUUCAUUACGGCCAACCCACCGGGUCAUCAUUUCCUUCAACAAAGGAGUGCAUAAGUCAAUCGACCUGUUCAUGUGAACACACCACUUGAAUAGAGUUUGGCCAAUACGUAUCCGAUCAAUUUAUCUUAGUAUAUCAUUAAUCUACAUUAUGACUUUGGUGUCACACCACGCCCCCCAUUAAUCUACAUUAUGGCUUUGGUGUCACACCACCCAUUAAUCUACAUUAUGGCUUUGGUGUCACACCACGCCCGCAAUCGAAACUACAUAUUAUUUUCAACAAAAACAAUUAUUAAUCAACAUUAUUCAAACCAACAUUUACAUUUUCAUUGCAACGCAUUUACUUACAUUGGUACGACCUUCUUCUUUAAUGCAAUCCAUCACUGUAAAACGAAAGCACCAAAAAAUAAUAUAAACACAAAAAUCAUCAAUGAAAAGUUCAACAAACUUUUUAAAACUUAAAGAAAUAUAUCAUCACUGUUUGACUACAACGCAAACACAUUGCCAAUUCAACUACAAUUAUAUAACAAUAUCCACGAACCCAAAGAAUCAUUAAAUAGUCUACACUGAUACCAAAACUGACGGUUUGUUUUCAUAACAAAACAUGAAUCCCAAUAUUUGCAUAUUCAGACGACCAAUAAUAGUUGAGUCAAGCUUAUAACAAGAAAUUGUAGUCAUCAAAUCAUUUCAUUUACAAGAAACAAAUUCUCCUUUAGAACUUUCUAGAGAUUUAACAUUAUAAGAACCAUAAAAUAUAAUGUGUUUAAUCACAUGAAUUAUCAUAAUUUUAUAGCAUUGAAAACCUUAAUUUUUCCUAAACAAAUAUUCCAACUCCCUCUCAAAAUUCACGUCUAGAGCCUACUUAAAAUACUUUAUGUCACAGAUAAACUCAAGCAAUACCAAAUUUUCACUACACAUAUUUAAUUCCUAUGUUAAUUUUCCAUACCAAUUAUUAAUUAAAACCCAACCACAAAAUUUUAUAUAUAUAUAUAUAUAUAUAUAUAUAUAUAUAUAUAUAUAUAUAUAUAUAUAUCAUAGUUUAUUAUAAACCCUUAUCCCAAAUUUUUCCUAAAUUCUCAAAACUAUAAUCUAUGUUAGACACUUUAACUUGAACUUAUUUACCACUUACCAAAACAUAUAAAAAAAUAUACUAUUACUAAUUAUUUACAAGUUUAACUAAUUUUAACUAAACUAAUCAAUUAAAUAAAAAAUAUGCAUUAGUAUAUACCUUCAUUCUCACUUUAACACGUUUCACAGCAUAUAAUAUUUAAUAACUUAACAUUGCAAUCCUAGACAAUAAUGACAGGCUAAUUCACAUGCUAAUUCAGAAUUCAAUCAUGACAUCCUUACCUUAAGUUCAUAUUAUAUUGUUUGUUCAAUCUGCGUAGCAAUAUUACCUUCAUCAGUUGUCCUAAUAUAUAUUACCUUCAUCAGUUGUCCUAAUUUUAGAAUUUAAAAAUAAUUUCAAAUAAUACUAAUUUACCCUACGCACAUUACAUCCUUAUAUUUAACUUUCUAAAUUAGUACUUAAGCAACAUCACCAAGUCUUGGAAAGUCUAUAAUUCAUUCUCUCAAGUGCCAAGAGAAUUCUUCAAAGUGUCAAAUCCAAAUCUCAACAGAGUCACCAAACUCAUUCAGUCCCCUGCCAUUUCGAAUAGCUAUCCUCAUCUUGAGAGUAAAUAAAAAUAAAAUGUUCCAAAAAAAGUCACAACCCUACAGUAAGUCACACCAGUUAAUAAAAUUUAAAACAAAAAUGGACAAAAAAAAAAAAGGAGAGGAUGGGAAAGGGGUAGUAGCAGUGGAUCCGUAAUUACCUGUCUCAAAAGCACUUAGCAUUACUUUCUUUCUUAUAUAUCAAAUAACAAUCAGAGCAAAAUCCAUUUAGAAGAGUAUGAAGUUGUCAGAAAAUUGAAGUAAAAUGACAACCACCGGUAUAAAACUAUUAAACAGGGAAUCAAAUUCAACAAAUUGGGCGAGAGGUGUGGUUAGGGAUUGAACGGGACAAAAUGUUCAACAAAAACUUCAAACCACAUUAAACUUUAUUACGAAAAACAACCAAAUAACACUACAACCCCUAAAUGCCCUAAAAAAUUUUAAAAAAAUAAAACCCACCGAACAAAAACUAUUCAUUACCGAAACGAACGGCGGCAACCUUGAAAAACAACCUCCAAUAGCUGUUUUUGAGUUUGUUUGCUCCUAAUGGUGAACGACGGUGCCUAUGCAGAUUCGGUCAACGGCGAUCCUCCGGCCAACAGCAAACUCCUUCAACGGCGACGAAACUUGUGGGUGAAGCCGCUUCUGGGUGAGUGCGACGGAGGACGAAAAUGCUUCUGGGUGAGAGGGUUCGCGAUGGGUGAAAGGGCUUCCUUUUACUUUUUUUUUUCAAAACCACCGAAUGAGACCUAUGAAACCAAAAACCAUCGCCUGUAUUCUAUUUUCACCUUAUUUUCUUUUUUUAAAAAACAAUUCACCUUGUCGAAUGACAGCGUGACACGUGUCUGAUGUAAAAGUUUAUUAUUUUUAGAUGUGAAAAUAUUAUUAUUCAAAUAGAAAUGUAUCACACUUUAUUUUCAAUAGGUUUAAUAUAAAUUAAAAAAAC